rnacentral:rRNA from 1 species
CAAUAGCGUAUAUUAAAGUUGUUGCGGUUAAAAAGCUCGUAGUUGGAUUUCUGCCGAGGACGACCGGUCCGCCCUCUGGGUGAGUAUCUGGCUUGGCCUGGGCAUCUUCUUGGAGAACGUAUCUGCACUUGACUGUGUGGUGCGGUAUCCAGGACUUUUACUUUGAGGAAAUUAAAGUGUUUCAAGCAGGCAUACGCCUUGAAUACAUUAGCAUGGAAUAAUAAGAUAGGACCUCGGUUCUAUUUUGUUGGUUUCUAGAGCUGAGGUAAUGAUUAAUAGGGAUAGUUGGGGCGAUUCGUAUUACAAUGUCAGAGGUGAAAUUCUUGGAUUAUUGUACGACGGACUACUGCGAAAGCAUUUGCCAAGGAUGUUUUUUUAAUCAAGACGAAAGUUAGGGGAUCGAAGAUGAUUAGAU